rnacentral:rRNA from 1 species
GACGAACGCUGGCGGCGUGCUUAAUACAUGCAAGUCGAACGGAGAGGGCCGGGUUUGGUUCUGUGCUCGAGUUGCGAACGGGUGAGUAACACGUGGGUAACCUGCCCUUGACUGUGGGAUAACUUCAGGAAACUGGGGCUAAUACCGGAUAGGAGUUCCUGCUGCAUGGCGUUGGUUGGAAAGUUUCGGCGGCUGGGGAUGGAGUCGCGGCUUAGCAGCUUGUAGGUGUGGUAGGGGCUUCCGACGGCCAUGACGGGUAGCCGGACUGGGAGGGUGACCGGCCACAUUGGGAUUGAGAUAGGAGCCAGAGGCCAACGGGAGCAAGCGGCGGGAAACAGAGCAAAAUGGGCGGAAGGCUGAUGGAGCGUUGUCGGGUGCGGGAUGACGGCCGUAGGGUUGUAACGAGCUUUAGCCUGGAAAGAAGCCUGAGUGACGGUAAUGGGUAAAGAAGCAACGGCUAACUACGUG